UGCAUCGGCAGGGAUCGAACCCAGGCCGCCCGCGUGGCAGGCGAGCAUUCUACCACUGAGCCACCGAUCC
rnacentral:tRNA from 1 species